UACGGAGGAUGCGAGCGUUAUCCGGAUUUAUUGGGUUUAAAGGGUGCGUAGGCGGCUUUUUAAGUCAGCGGUGAAAUUUUGCAGCUUAACUGUAAAAGUGCCAUCGAUACUGGUUUCCUUGAGUGUAGAUGAAGUAGGAGGAAUUUGUGGUGUAGCGGUGAAAUGCAUAGAUAUCACGAGGAACUCCGAUUGCGCAGGCAGCUUACUAAACUACUACUGACGCUCAGGCACGAAGGCGUGGGGAUCAAACAGGAUUAGAUACCCU
rnacentral:rRNA from 1 species